rnacentral:rRNA from 1 species
ACGAACGCUGGCGGCGUGGAUAAGACAUGCAAGUCGAACGAGAGAAUUGCUAGCUUGCUAAUAAUUCUCUAGUGGCGCACGGGUGAGUAACACGUGAGUAACCUGCCCCCGAGAGCGGGAUAGCCCUGGGAAACUGGGAUUAAUACCGCAUAGUAUCGAAAGAUUAAAGCAGCAAUGCGCUUGGGGAUGGGCUCGCGGCCUAUUAGUUAGUUGGUGAGGUAACGGCUCACCAAGGCGAUGACGGGUAGCCGGUCUGAGAGGAUGUCCGGCCACACUGGAACUGAGACACGGUCCAGACACCUACGGGUGGCAGCAGUCGAGAAUCAUUCACAAUGGGGGAAACCCUGAUGGUGCGACGCCGCGUGGGGGAAUGAAGGUCUUCGGAUUGUAAACCCCUGUCAUGUGGGAGCAAAUUAAAAAGAUAGUACCACAAGAGGAAGAGACGGCUAACUCUGUGCCAGCAGCCGCGGUUAUACAGAGGUCUCAAGCGUUGUUCGGAAUCACUGGGCGUAAAGCGUGCGUAGGCUGUUUCGUAAGUCGUGUGUGAAAGGCGCGGGCUCAACCCGCGGACGGCACAUGAUACUGCGAGACUAGAGUAAUGGAGGGGGAACCGGAAUUCUCGGUGUAGCAGUGAAAUGCGUAGAUAUCGAGAGGAACACUCGUGGCGAAGGCGGGUUCCUGGACAUUAACUGACGCUGAGGCACGAAGGCCAGGGGAGCGAAAGGGAUUAGAUACCCCUGUAGUCCUGGCAGUAAACGGUGCACGCUUGGUGUGCGGGGAAUCGACCCCCUGCGUGCCGGAGCUAACGCGUUAAGCGUGCCGCCUGGGGAGUACGGUCGCAAGAUUAAAACUCAAAGAAAUUGACGGGGACCCGCACAAGCGGUGGAGUAUGUGGCUUAAUUCGAUGCAACGCGAAGAACCUUACCUGGGCUUGACAUGUAAUGAACAACAUGUGAAAGCAUGCGACUCUUCGGAGGCGUUACACAGGUGCUGCAUGGCCGUCGUCAGCUCGUGUCGUGAGAUGUUUGGUUAAGUCCAGCAACGAGCGCAACCCCUGUUGCCAGUUACCAGCACGUGAAGGUGGGGACUCUGGCGAGACUGCCCAGAUCAACUGGGAGGAAGGUGGGGACGACGUCAGGUCAGUAUGGCCCUUAUGCCCAGGGCUGCACACGUACUACAAUGCCCAGUACAGAGGGGGCCGAAGCCGCGAGGCGGAGGAAAUCCUAAAAACUGGGCCCAGUUCGGACUGUAGGCUGCAACCCGCCUACACGAAGCCGGAAUCGCUAGUAAUGGCGCAUCAGCUACGGCGCCGUGAAUACGUUCCCGGGUCUUGUACACACCGCCCGUCACAUCAUGGAAGCCGGUCGCACCCGAAGUAUCUGAAGCCAACCGCAAGGAGGCAGGGUCCUAAGGUGAGACUGGUAACUGGGAUG